rnacentral:rRNA from 1 species
UACAGAGGUCUCAAGCGUUGUUCGGAUUCAUUGGGCGUAAAGGGUGCGUAGGUGGCGCCGUAAGUCGGGUGUGAAAUUUCGGAACUUAACUCCGAAACUGCAUUCGAUACUGCGGUGCUUGAGGACUGGAGAGGAGACUGGAAUUCAUGGUGUAGCAGUGAAAUGACGUAGAGAUCAUGAGGAAGACCAGUGGCGAAGGCGGGUCUCUGGACAGUUCCUGACACUGAGGCACGAAGGCCAGGGGAGCAAACGGG